UGGGGAAUAUUGGACAAUGGGCGAAAGCCUGAUCCAGCCAUGCCGCGUGUGUGAAGAAGGCCUUUUGGUUGUAAAGCACUUUAAGCGAGGAGGAGGCUACUUAGAUUAAUACUCUAGGAUAGUGGACGUUACUCGCAGAAUAAGCACCGGCUAACUCUGUGCCAGCAGCCGCGGUAAUACAGAGGGUGCGAGCGUUAAUCGGAUUUACUGGGCGUAAAGCGUGCGUAGGCGGCUUUUUAAGUCGGAUGUGAAAUCCCUGAGCUUAACUUAGGAAUUGCAUUCGAUACUGGGAAGCUAGAGUAUGGGAGAGGAUGGUAGAAUUCCAUGUGUAGCGGUGAAAUGCGUAGAGAUCUGGAGGAAUACCGAUGGCGAAGGCAGCCAUCUGGCCUAAUACUGACGCUGAGGUACGAAAGCAUGGGGAGCAAACAGG
rnacentral:rRNA from 1 species